rnacentral:tRNA from 1 species
GCGUUGGUGGUUCAGUGGUGGAAGUCUCACCUUCUGUGUGGGAGGCCCAGGUUCUAUUCCAGGCCAAUACA